rnacentral:tRNA from 20 species
UCUAAUAUGGCAGAUUAGUG